rnacentral:rRNA from 1 species
UACGAAGGGGGCUAGCGUUGUUCGGAAUUACUGGGCGUAAAGCGCACGUAGGCGGAUUUGUAAGUCAGGGGUGAAAUCCCGGGGCUCAACCUCGGAACUGCCUUUGAUACUGCAAGUCUUGAGUCCGGAAGAGGUGAGUGGAAUUCCUAGUGUAGAGGUGAAAUUCGUAGAUAUUAGGAAGAACACCAGUGGCGAAGGCGGCUCACUGGUCCGGUACUGACGCUGAGGUGCGAAAGCGUGGGGAGCAAACAGGGAUUAAGAAACCCUGG